CAGUCGCCGCGGUAAUACGGAGGAUGCGAGCGUUAUUCGGAAUCAUUGGGUUUAAAGGGUCUGUAGGCGGGCUAUUAAGUCAGGGGUGAAAUAUUUCAGCUUAACUGGGAAAUUGCCUUUGAUACUGGUAGUCUUGAAUAUUUGUGAAGUUUUUGGAAUGUGUAGUGUAGCGGUGAAAUGCAUAGAUAUUACACAGAACACCGAUUGCGGAGGCAGGGGACUAACAAAUAAUUGACGCUGAGAGACGAGAGCGUGGGGAGCGAACAGGAUUAGAUACCCCCGUAGUCCCUGUCUCUUAUAC
rnacentral:rRNA from 1 species